CUAGAUGGCCUUACCACCAUGGACACGCCCGAUCUCGUCUGAUCUCGGAAGCUAAGCAUGGUCGGGCCUGGUUAGUGUCUAGA
rnacentral:rRNA from 10 species